rnacentral:rRNA from 1 species
UACGAAGGGGGCUAGCGUUGCUCGGAAUUACUGGGCGUAAAGCGCACGUAGGCGGUCUUUUAAGUCGGGGGUGAAAUCCUGGAGCUCAACUCCAGAACUGCCUUCGAUACUGGAAGGCUUGAGUCCGGGAGAGGUGAGUGGAACUGCGAGUGUAGAGGUGAAAUUCGUAGAUAUUCGCAAGAACACCAGUGGCGAAGGCGGCUCACUGGCCCGGUACUGACGCUGAGGUGCGAAAGCGUGGGGAGCAAACAGG